GAUGAACGCUGGCGGUAUGCUUAACACAUGCAAGUCGAACGGUCUUUUAGGAGACAGUGGCGGACGGGUGAGUAACGCGUAAGAAUCUACCCUCAGGUCGGGGACAACCACUGGAAACGGUGGCUAAUACCGGAUGUGCCGAGAGGUGAAAGGCUUGCUGCCUGGGGAAGAGCUUGCGUCUGAUUAGCUAGUUGGUAGUGUAAGAGACUACCAAGGCGACGAUCAGUAGCUGGUCUGAGAGGAUGAUCAGCCACACUGGGACUGAGACACGGCCCAGACUCCUACGGGAGGCAGCAGUGGGGAAUUUUCCGCAAUGGGCGAAAGCCUGACGGAGCAAUACCGCGUGAGGGAGGAAGGCUCUUGGGUUGUAAACCUCUUUUCUCAGGGAAGAAAAAAAUGACGGUACCUGAGGAAUAAGCAUCGGCUAACUCCGUGCCAGCAGCCGCGGUAAUACGGAGGAUGCAAGCGUUAUCCGGAAUGAUUGGGCGUAAAGGGUCCGCAGGUGGCAUUGUAAGUCUGCUGUUAAAGAGUCUAGCUCAACUAGAUAAGAGCAGUGGAAACUACAAAGCUAGAGUUUGGUCGGGGCAGAAGGAAUUCCUGGUGUAGCGGUGAAAUGCGUAGAUAUCAGGAAGAACACCAGUGGCGAAGGCGUUCUGCUAGGCCGAGACUGACACUGAGGGACGAAAGCUAGGGGAGCGAAUGGGAUUAGAUACCCCAGUAGUCCUAGCCGUAAACGAUGGAUACUAGGCGUAGCUCGUAUCGACCCGAGCUGUGCCGGAGCUAACGCGUUAAGUAUCCCGCCUGGGGAGUACGCAGGCAACUGUGAAACUCAAAGGAAUUGACGGGGGCCCGCACAAGCGGUGGAGUAUGUGGUUUAAUUCGAUGCAACGCGAAGAACCUUACCAAGGCUUGACAUGUCACGAAUCCUGUGGAAACAUAGGAGUGCCUUCGGGAGCGUGAACACAGGUGGUGCAUGGCUGUCGUCAGCUCGUGUCGUGAGAUGUUGGGUUAAGUCCCGCAACGAGCGCAACCCUCGUUUUUAGUUGCCAGCAUUAAGUUGGGCACUCUAGAGAGACUGCCGGUGACAAACCGGAGGAAGGUGGGGAUGACGUCAAGUCAGCAUGCCCCUUACGUCUUGGGCUACACACGUACUACAAUGCUACGGACAAAGGGCAGCUACACAGCGAUGUGAUGCGAAUCUCAUAAACCGUAGCUCAGUUCAGAUCGAAGGCUGCAACUCGCCUUCGUGAAGGAGGAAUCGCUAGUAAUUGCAGGUCAGCAUACUGCAGUGAAUUCGUUCCCGGGCCUUGUACACACCGCCCGUCACACCAUGGAAGUUGGUCACGCCCGAAGUCGUUACCCCAACCGCAAGGGGGGGGAUGCCUAAGGUAGGACUGAUGACUGGGGUGAA
rnacentral:rRNA from 1 species